CACCGCACCAUGAGUGGAAAACUGCUCUCACAGAGUGAUAAGAACAAGCAAAGCAGGUUCCAGGCUGAAAAUGAUCCUUCACUGGACCAGCGGUCAUGGAAGAUGGAGUGAUGGAUAUCCUGACAGAAGCACAUGACAGCUUAACGGCCUAGAAGGGAGGCCAUUGACACCGGAGCAAAGCCAGAGUCCUCACAAAAGGGGGUAGCUGCUAAUCAUCGCUCACACUUCCUCUUCCACACUUCUGGAUCAGAAAGUGGCUCGAUUUGCAAAUUGGGGACAGAAGCUGCCAGCGAUGACGCCCCGCGCCCCUUUUCCCAAAUCGCACCAAGCUGUCUAGCAGGGACACUAAACGCCAGGAAUCACAGGCUCCUGGAUAUCAACAGCAACUGAUGCUAUUCAUUUAGUCCUUGCAGGUUAUUUAACCACCUCCUCCUUCCCGCCCAAGUUGUGUGUUACAUUACCAAUUAUGAACAGAAACGCCUACUGUUUACUGUGAAAUGAGUGAAAUUGCAUUCCCCCCUGCCCCCACGGGAAUUUCAGCAUGGCGUAGACCCCCUCCCUUCACGAAAUCCCACUCACAGAUAUCGGUUUUGCGUGGCUGUG